UGGGGGAUAUUGCACAAUGGGCGAAAGCCUGAUGCAGCGACGCCGCGUGGGGGAUGAAGGCCUUCGGGUUGUAAACUUCUUUUGCUCUGAACAAGGCAUGCUAAUGGGUGUGUUGAGUGUAGGGGUUGAUUAGCGCCGGCUAACUACGUGCCAGCAGCCGCGGUAAUACGUUGGGCGCGAGCGUUGUCCGGAAUUAUUGGGCGUAAAGGGCUUGUAGGUGGCUGGUUGCGUCUGUCGUGAAAGCUCAUGGCUUAACUGUGGGUUUGCGGUGGGUACGGGCUGGCUUGAGUGCAGUAGGGGAGGCUGGAAUUCCUGGUGUAGCGGUGGAAUGCGCAGAUAUCAGGAGGAAUACCGGUGGCGAAGGCGGGUCUCUGGGCUGUUACUGACACUGAGGAGCGAAAGCAUGGGGAGCGAACAGG
rnacentral:rRNA from 1 species